GCCGUCAGGUAUUGGUGUUGCUC
rnacentral:siRNA from 1 species